rnacentral:rRNA from 1 species
CAGUCGCCACGGUAAUACGAAGGGGGCUAGCGUUGCUCGGAAUGACUGGGCGUAAAGGGCGCGUAGGCGGAUGGUACAGUCAGAUGUGAAAUUCCUGGGCUUAACCUGGGGGCUGCAUUUGAUACGUAUUGUCUAGAGUGAGGAAGAGGGUCGUGGAAUUCCCAGUGUAGAGGUGAAAUUCGUAGAUAUUGGGAAGAACACCGGUGGCGAAGGCGGCGACCUGGUCCUUGACUGACGCUGAGGCACGAAAGCGUGGGGAGCAAACAGGAUUAGAUACCCCCGUAGUCCCGUCUCUUAUACA